rnacentral:sRNA from 1 species
AGAGAGAGAGAUCCUUCCCUGUUCUUCCGGAUGGAGAAGCUGUCUUUUCUCGGCGGCCGUCACUUCACGCUGAUGCCUGCGUGUGCUGGACCGCCUGUCUCCCAGACAGCUAGCUUCACCUCGCUGUGUGCGGGCACCGGGGAUGGGGAGGGGAGGUCUCCGGACAGAGGUGGGGAUUCUGCAGGCCGUCCUCGGGACACAUUUUCUUUGCCUGCCAGAGCCCAGGGCUCUUUGAAAAGAAAGUAAUAUCAAACAAAAUCAAGCGAUGUAAAAGCUUUCUGCGGGCUCUGGGCCUCAGGUGAAUCUUCAUUCCCAGGGCUUCACCAGCCGCAGGCCCUCAGGUCCCUACUGAAAUCCAGAAAUGGAGUCAGUUGACCUCGUCUGACGGAGUAGUGUCUUAGCGUUUCUAAGACAAAAGGGUGGAUCCCGUCUGAGACUGCUGGGCCGCCCUUCCAGGCUCCGGCUUCCCAGUGCGGAGGUUCCCAGGCUUCGAUCACCUUCUCCAGCAUAGCUGAACUGGUUGCCAAUUAUCAAAGGCCCUUGGGGCAGCUGGGCAGGACCUUUUGGACCUUGGAGUUCCUUUGCGCCUGGCCCACCGAGCUUGGCUUCUCGGGUCGUCCAGAUGCCGCGGUUCCACCUGAGCGUGUCCUCAAAAGCAGCAGCUCCUCCUAGGGCCGCUAGAUCCGGUGGCUCGGUACAGCCCAGCUCUGUGACUGUCCACCGAUCCCCGAAGCCUCUUUAUCUUAAUGUUCUGGCUUUUUUGUUUUAUUGUUUUAUUUGUUUUUGUUUUGGGCUGGAGGUUAGGCGCAAGGGGCGGUGGUAAUAGGUCGGACCUCCCUUUAAUCUACCCAUGCUUUUCUGAUACAGUAGGAGAAUAUGAAACCCCGCGGGCCACUUAUACAAGUCCAGGUCCUCUCUAUUGGGACUCAGCGUGAUUUCCGUGUCUGUCUCAUAACAUCUGACCUAAUCAGCAGCUGGACAAACUCUCUUGAUUCCUCCCCCACGACCGCAGCCAGUAUUCCCGAAUGCGGAAUCCAACACCCUUAUCUGGGACAGUUCAGAUGGACGCAGGGUCCAGCAGUGGAGUUGUGUGAACCCUAGAGCUUGAGCCCCUGGGUGGCCCUACAAGCGCUGAUAGGGGCCGGGACAGCCAGUCAGGGCGCGACCUUGCAGCAGCUAUCCCAGAGACUGCAGUCCCUAGGCAGUAGGGGCCCUCCUCCCCUUCGCAUCCCUUCUCACCCUCUCCUGGCCUCUGCUUCUUCGCUCCGAGCGGCCAUAUACCUUGAGUGGGUCACCCCUGCUUGCUUCCUUCAAGAUGCCUCAAGCCCGGGGGUUGAAUAUUAACCGGCCAGAGCUAUAGAGUGAGGUAAAACAUUACAUAUAAAAAUGAAUCAUCUAUCCGAUCCCAGAAGAGAAGACCUAUAGCUAGCCUUGAAUCUAGAAAAGAUCUGGCACGUCCGUCCCGUGUCCCUACUCCACUGACUGCUUCUACCCACGGACCAUUCUGCCUCAGGUGGCCAGGAGCAGAUCCUGGAUACCCAAUCAUUCCCCUCGCGGAGCCUGUGGUUAAUUGAUGGUUUCAAACACAAGCUAAAGUCCUUUAGAGAAAGGUCGGGGACAGCAUUUCAUCUCUUAUAAGAACUGGUGGAGACAGCCUUUAAUCUAAGAGAGCCUUCUGGCCUCAGGGUGAAGGAGGAAACACCCCCACCCCCCUGCACUGUCUCCUCUGGCAUUGCUGAGAGGCUAGGCUGAGUGGGUAGCUGGUGGCAGACAGAGUCAGGAGCCUGAGCCUGGAGAGAGGCCAGUCAUGGGUGGCUACAAGCUAAUGGGGCUGUCCUGGGCUGAGUACCCUGGCCUGAGGACCUCAGGAAACUAUUCCUACUGGUCCCCACUUCUCAUCCCUCUGCCUCCUACUUCACCUCUUUUUCCUCAGACCUAUUUGUAGCUAUUAACAAAAACUGUAACAAUGUUCUACUCAGAGUUAGCAGGUAGGCCCAAGUGUCCAGUCACUCAGAAUUCACCAAAAGAUAACAGGGAUUGAAAGAGGAAUGAGGGAUCAUGUACCUUCUCACUUCGGUGACCUUACCUGGGAAACACUAGUGACAGUCACUCACUAUUCCCAAGACAGUGAUGUGGUUUCUUUCUCUGAUCCUCUCUUCCCUUCCCCCACUGGGGAAAAAAAAUGAUAAGGUGGUUGCUCAUUAGAGAAAGAUGUAAUGCAACAUGAAGCUCCCACACAUUGCCCACAAGCUGAAGGGAAUGCCCCUGCCUCCUAACAAAAUGGAAUCAUUUCUCCGGCAACAUACUUCUCUGAUUUAAAAUGAGGUGCCCGGCUUGUAGUAAUUAUUCAGCCCCUUUGACAACCACCAUUUUCCUUAACUUGGACCCUGCUUCUGAUUGGUUCCCUGACACAGCCUUAUUUUCACUGACAGUGCUUACUACUCUCAGUGAAAGUUUUCUACUGAGAGGGGGGGUCCCCAAAAAAGUGGUUUUGGUGGUUUGCCUGUCUAGUUAGAACCCUGAACCACUGAAUAGCCUCGGGUCCCCUCUUAAACUCCUUCAAAGGCAGCUACUUCUUCCCGGUGCUCCCAGCCUGGAGACUUAGGGACCCUAAGUAUUUCAGGAAAGGUUUGGAGUCUGGCAGCAGAGGCAGGAGAACAGGAGAAUAGGACUUUUGGGACGCUCAGCAGGUGUGUUCUGAGUCCCGGGUACAAGUACUAAUUGGAUGUCACCAUUCACUUAGUUCUUAGGGAACAAGGCUUGAGUUUAAGAUGUGGUUACGCACUUAAUCUCGUCCUCUCCUGGCUUGUCACUGCUCAUACUUCAUUGCACACAGUGUCCCGUGUCGUUCCAGCACAGCGGUGACAGCCCAACUUUGUCAUCGUCCAAUUCUGUGCCACACCACUUCUCCAAGAAAAACAGAAUCGACUCAAAUGUUCCACUGCUUUGCUCCAGGAGACAAUGAACACAGCAAAGCAAGUAAAUAAAAAGAGGUUUGGGUCGUGCUCUCCGAUGCCCUUCUCAGUGUGAAUGUGAGACUCAGAAACAGACCGGGAAGGGUAUUUACUCUUCAAGGUACCCAGUGGCUGGGGAAGGGGAAUUAUGAAGAGUCUAAUAGCCUCAAACUAUCUUCUUCCUCACCAAACUACCAUGCUAUCUGACACUCUGGAUCUAUUUGUGUCCCUGGUAACAGUGGGUUUGACUGACAGGUCACAGACUGGAGGGCUUGGGUGACUGAAAACAAGUUUGACAAGAAAGGAAUCUGGGUGGGGUGCCACCAUAGAGGUGGAGAGAGGAUGGGGCUACAGUUCCAGGAGCAGUUUGGCAGCCCCAGGCUCUGCUGAAUCCUGAUUUACACAAAACUCUUCCUCAAAGAAUAGCUAGCAGUACAGUGUCAGGGAGGAGGGAAAUUUCAACUUCUGUCUUUGCCUUUCCCGUCUCUUUGUUUCCCAUUCCCUUCUAUCCUGUUCAACCUCAGCACAAUGUCCCCAGUCUUUGGGCACUCCUGGUUUAUCCUCGGCUUGUCUUCUCUUUUAAAUCAAGCAUUGGAUUACUUUCAGUUCUUUUUUUUUUCCUGUAUAAAAAGCUGUUUCGUGCAACUAAGAGUCUACUUGUAAACCCUUUGUAGUCAAGAACAUGAAGUGUUUGUGCGAGCCACAGAGGUUUCCAGGUGAGCAGGCACUACACACUCUACCUUUGUCUUUUCAGAGGGACCACACCUGUUCUUUAGCGAAGCUCACUUGCACGCUGAAUAUCCUGGGCAGUCAUGAGUACAGUCCUUUCAGAGGACAGCCAGACCCUUGGAAUGGCCGUCAAAAUCAUUUAUACCUUUGGCCUUCAUUUUACCUUCUUCACUUAAUACAGUAACAAAAAAAAAAAACAAUAUGAGUUUGUGUGUGUCAGUAUACAUGUGUACACAUGUGUGUCUCAUGUGUGUGGAAGCCAGAGGACAACUUAAGAUCUACCAUUUAGGAACUCGACCCAAAUUAAUUUAAAAAAAAAAAUACCGUUAACAUGUCUGCAUUGUCACAUCGCGUCACCUCAUAUAUGUGGCGAAGGAGGACAACGUUUUAGAAUCGGUUCUCUCCUUUUCUCUCUCUAUCUUGUGGUGGGUUCCAGAAAUCAACCUCAGCUGCACCCCUACACCUACAUUUCACCAGGUUCUGGGUGUGCAACCCAGGCUUUCCUGUUGGCAAGGUGAGAACUUGGCUGACUGAGCCAUCCCCCAUUUUCUGUCCUACCUUGGAAGUGUCCUUCCUGGAGCUACCACCUGACUCGGAAUACCUAAGUGUCUUUCAGGAAAGCAUAUGGCAGACCCUUCUUGGACUGAUGUGACAGUCAGCUCCUCUGGCCAUCUUCCCAUCCAAAGGUCUUGUUUUGUAGGAGCGGAUGGCUAUUGGAUAACCAGCAGCUUGUGGAUAUCAGCAGCUCGGUUCACAUGAAUCAGCAGCAGUCGCUCGAUCCACUCAUGAACACCAUUGCCAAGUCAGAAACUGCAGUUCAAGUCAGAAUCAACUGCAAUCUUCUGCCAAUAAUCAGCCUCAGUUUGCGGAAGUGAGGCAAGAAAUAUCAAAAGUUCUUUGGCAUAUUUCUGCCUAUGACAGUCACGACAAAUGAUGAUCUGUCAGGAGUGGCAUAGCAAACCAAUGCUACAGUGUCAUCAGUGAGAAGACCAGUGUCAGCAAAGCCCGACGAAGACCAUCAAAGUGUGGCAAGAGACAUAGGCAUAGGAGCCGAUGAUGAUGAUGAUGAUGAUGAUGAUAAUGAUGAUGAUGAUCCACAGCCAUAAUGAUUCAGGAAACAGAAUCGGAGUGCAACA